rnacentral:lncRNA from 1 species
UGAAUGGCUUUGUGCUGUUCCACCUGGCAUCUCUGCUUUUGUUUGUUAAUUAGGUAUUAAUUGCAGGGGCUGCUUGGGAUGUGUAGGUGAAGAGUGUGUGUGGUCCUACAAAGAGGGGCUGAGAUGAGUUCAGUUUGGUACAACAGACCUUGCAGCACUACUGACACGUAUGAUCCAGGCAGUGUUGUGGACUGAUGCUCAGCACGUUAUGGAGAGAGAUGCCAGCAUCAAAUUUUGCAAGGUCUUGUGGAUGAAUAAUAAACCAUGGCAUCACUUCCACAUGCUGCGUUCUGUGGUCUUUGGGAGGAAAUGACCCUUAUCCUUUCCCAAACCAACAGUUAACACACCUUUGUUGAUACAUGUCAUACUGCUGAGGCUCAGAGUAAGUAACAUCAAUACACUGAGAAAUGAUAUGGGAAACUAGCAUAAGUAAGCAAGGAAAUAUCUCUUACCACAAGAGUUUAAAUGCUGAAGGACUUCUCUCAUAGAAAUAACGAACAUACUGGGCCCCUCAUUACAAGAAGGAUACUGAGACCCUAGAGCGUGUCCAGAGAAGGGCAAUGGGGUUGUGAGGGGUCUGGAGCACAAUGGGGUCUUAUGGGGAGCGGCCGAGGGAACUGGGAUGGUUCAGUCUGGGGAAGAGGAUGCUCAGGGGAGACCUUAUUGCUCUCUACAAUGACCCGAAAAGAGGUUGUGUGAGGUGGGGGUUGGCCUCUUCUUCCAGGUAACAGUGAUAGGAGGAGAGAGAAUGGCCUUAAGUCGCACCAGGGGAAGUUCAGGUUGGAUAUUAGGGAAAAUUUCUUCACCGAAAGAGUGGUGAUGCACUGGCACAGGCUGCCCAGGGAGGUGGAGGAGUUAUUGUCCCUGGAGGUGUUGAAGAAUGCGGGGAUGUGGCACUGAGGGAUGUGGUCAGUGGGCACGGUGGGGAGGGUUGGAUUUGGUGAUCUUAGAGAUCUUUUCCCACAUUACUGAUUCUGUGACUCUAUGAUUCUAUACAGUCUGCCAGCUGUUACUUCAUGCCAGUUUUCACAGGCUGGAGCCAUGCACCACAAAAAAGGUAAAGCAGAGUUUGGUCACAUUGCCUCUUAG